rnacentral:rRNA from 1 species
UACGUAGGGUGCAAGCGUUGUCCGGAAUUAUUGGGCGUAAAGAGCUCGUAGGCGGUUCGUCGCGUCGGCUGUGAAAUCCCGAGGCUCAACCUCGGGUCUGCAGUCGAUACGGGCGGACUGGAGUUCGGCAGGGGAGACUGGAAUUCCUGGUGUAGCGGUGAAAUGCGCAGAUAUCUGGAGGAACACCGGUGGCGAAGGCGACAUCCUGGACCAACACUGACGCUGAGGAGCGAAAGCCAGGGGAGCAAACGGG